rnacentral:tRNA from 1 species
GCGGGCGUGGCGGAACGGCAGACGCUACGGUCUUAAACAUCGUUGGGGGAAACCCCAUGCGGGUUCGACUCCCGCCGCCCGCACCA